GUACAUGCCGAAAUAAGGCGAAACCGCGAAUGGCUCAUUAAAUCAGUUAUGGUUCCUUAGAUCGUUUCUUUCUACUUGGACAACUGUGGCAAUUCUAGAGCUAAUACAUGCAUUGAGCCUGAAGGCCUUUGGCUGACGGGUGCUUUUAUUAGACCAAGACCCAUCGGGUUCUGCCCGUACACUGUGGUGACUCUGGAUAACUUUGUGCAGAUCGCAUGGCCAUGAGCCGGCGACGUUUCUUUCAAGUGUCUGCCUUAUCAACUUUCGAUGGUAGGUUACUUGCCUACCAUGGUUGUUACGGGUAACGGAGAAUCAGGGUUCGAUUCCGGAGAGGGAGCCUGAGAAACGGCUACCACAUCCAAGGAAGGCAGCAGGCGCGCAAAUUACCCACUCCCGGCACGGGGAGGUAGUGACGAAAAAUAACAAUACGGGACUCUUUUGAGGCCCCGUAAUUGAAAUGAGUACACUCUAAAUCCUUUAACGAGGAUCAAUUGGAGGGCAAGUCUGGUGCCAGCAGCC
rnacentral:rRNA from 1 species